CAAAUUAAAAUUGAUAAAUGAGGAUUUUUGAUAUUCGACAUAGGAAAAUGUUUUGUGGAAAGAUUUUACAAUCGUGCAGGGAAGAAUAAAUGAUUCGACAUCACAUCUCAGCAUAAUUUACACAACAUGAUAAAGACAAUUUAAAUGUGCAUAUUGUAAAUGGUUGUUACAAUAUGAUCAAUAUGCACAGCAUUUGCAUACAAGCACUGUGGACUCACUUCACAAUAAUGGACAAUGAAAGAAAUAUUUUUGUACACAAUAAACUGAAUGAUUGAUUCUGAUAUAUCAGCGCCACUUCUUUUGUUAAUAUCUUAUCGUUUCUUAAACAAAUGUCUUGCUUUCCUGUAGCAAUCUUUUAAUUCCAUUUCUUUUCAGCUUUAGAUGACGUGUACAA